CAGUAGCCGCGGGAAUACGUAGGUGGCAAGCGUUGUCCGGAAUUAUUGGGCGUAAAGGGCUCGCAGGCGGUUUCUUAAGUCUGAUGUGAAAGCCCCCGGCUCAACCGGGGAGGGUCAUUGGAAACUGGGAAACUUGAGUGCAGAAGAGGAGAGUGGAAUUCCACGUGUAGCGGUGAAAUGCGUAGAGAUGUGGAGGAACACCAGUGGCGAAGGCGACUCUCUGGUCUGUAACUGACGCUGAGGAGCGAAAGCGUGGGGAGCGAGCAGGAUUAGAUACCCCUGUAGUCCCUGUCUCUUAUAC
rnacentral:rRNA from 1 species